UACAGAGGUGGCAAGCGUUGUUCGGAAUUACUGGGCGUAAAGGGCGCGUAGGCGGUCUUGCAAGUCCUGUGUGAAAUCCCUCGGCUCAACUGAGGAACUGCACAGGAAACUGCUUGGCUUGAGUUCGGGAGAGGGAAGCGGAAUUCCGGGUGUAGCGGUGAAAUGCGUAGAUAUUGACAGGAACACCAGUGGCGCAAGCGGCUAUCUGGACCAACAUCGACGCUGAGGCACGAAAGCGUGGGGAUCAAACAGG
rnacentral:rRNA from 1 species